AUUGAACGCUGGCGGCAGGCCUAACACAUGCAAGUCGAGCGGAGCGGCGGACGGGCGAGUAAUUCCUAGGUAUCUGCCUGGUAGUGGGGGAUAACGUCCGGAAACGGGCGCUAAUCCCGCAUACUAUCAGAUGAGCCUAGGUCGGAUUAGCUAGUUGGUGGGGUAAAGGCCUACCAAGGCGACGACCCGUAACUGAACUGAGAGGAGGACCAGUCACACGGGACCUGGAACAGGGUCCAGACUCCUACGGGAGGCAGCAGUGGGGAAUAUUGGAAAAUGGGCGAAAGCCUGAUCCAGCCAUGCCGCGGGUGUGAAGAAGGUCUUCGGAUUGUAAAGCACUUUAAGUUGGGAGGCGUUACCAACAGAGUAAGCACCGGCUAACUACGUGCCAGCCGCCGCGGUAAUUC
rnacentral:rRNA from 1 species